GUACUUGCUUUGGCAGUACAUAUACUAAAAUUGAAACGAUACAGAGAAGAUUAGCAUGGACCCUGCGCAAAGGAUGACACUUUUAGCAUAGCAUACAGAAAUUACU